AUGAAAAAACGCAGAGUAAUUUUUCUUUUGGAUCAGAUUAUAGCUUAAAGACAACUUCCACCGAUUCUCCCUCUAUAACCCUAAGUCAUACCUAAAACUCAAGAAGCCGACAAGAUUUCAUCCCAAAUUGCCAUUUCAAUCGAAAAAAUCAUGUCCCAAACCUGACUUUCCUCCUCUCUGUGCACAGUGCACUACUUUGGAAAAUGAGCAAAGUAAUGUUGAAGACCAAUCAAGUUUAGCACACCACUCUAGUGAAAGGAUCAGGUAGCCAGUCGGACGAUUCACAGCAGUAGGACCUCCCCUCAGCGGUAGUCGGUACGCUCCAUUGAUCCGGAGCUACAACCCUUUUGGUAUGCUAUUUGGUUACGUAUAUAUAUGGGUAUGGCAGGGCCUUGUCCUGUCCUUUCUACAGUCUGUAUUCUAUAGAGGUCUGUAGACAGUGAUAUGUAGCCAUGAUGUUAUACAGCCUCGUCGGCGCUCAUUUUUGUUGUACCGUA